ACUCCUACGGGAGGCAGCAGUGGGGAAUAUUGCACAAUGGGCGCAAGCCUGAUGCAGCCAUGCCGCGUGUAUGAAGAAGGCCUUCGGGUUGUAAAGUACUUUCAGCAGUGAGGAAGGCGGGUACGUUAAUAGCGUGCUCGUUUUGACGUAGCUGCAGAAAGAAGCACCGGGCUAACUCCGUGCCAGCAGCCGCGGUAAUACGGAGGGUGCGAGCGUUAAUCGGAAUUACUGGGCGUAAAGCGCAUGCAGGUGGUUUGUUAAGUCAGAUGUGAAAGCCCGGGGCUCAACCUCGGAAUAGCAUUUGAAAACUGGCAGACUAGAGUACUUAG
rnacentral:rRNA from 1 species